rnacentral:lncRNA from 1 species
CAGCAGUUUUCUAGCACUCCACCUGUGAUGACGCUGGGAACUACCUUCAUGCUUCAGUUUUAAGGCAUGACUGACGAGAUGGGAUGUUUUUCACUUUCUUCUGUGACGUGUUCUGCUGGGCUGCUGUACUUCAGCAAAGAGCUACAAGAGGGCCUUAGAGCAAGUCUCUGA